UACGUAGGGGCCGAGCGUUGUCCGGAGUUAUUGGGCGUAAAGCGCGCGCAGGCGGCUUGGCGCGCCCGACGUGAAAGCCCCCGGCUUAACCGGGGAGAGUCGUCGGGGACGGCCGGGCUUGAGGGCGGGAGAGGGUGGUGGAAUUCCCGGUGUAGUGGUGAAAUGCGUAGAGAUCGGGAGGAACACCUGUGGCGAAGGCGGCCACCUGGGCCGACCCUGACGCUGAGGCGCGAAAGCUAGGGGAGCAAACAGG
rnacentral:rRNA from 1 species